rfam:Picea glauca, whole genome shotgun sequence.
AGGUGCGAUCAUACCAGCAUUAAUGCCCAGGAUCCCAUGAGAACUCCGCAGUUAAGCGUGCUUGGGCUAGAGUAGUACUGAUAUGGGUGACCUCCCAGGAACUCCUAGUGUUGCACCCU